rnacentral:lncRNA from 1 species
CCACAUAAUAGAAUUCCUUAAUCAAGGUUAAUACAAUAUCUAAACAAAUGUGGUUUUGGGAGUUUUUUGAAGAUUUGCAUUUCCUAUUAGUAAUGAAAAAGGUGACAGUUUUCUUUUCAAAUGGGUUAGAUGGUUAAGCAUGUGAAAGCUUUAAUUAUUUCAAAAAGGUUUCAUGACUAGAAAGACAUAUAAGACGAGUAUAUUUUUCCAUUAGGCUCAUAAAUGAAACAUAAGUUUGUCUAACGUAU